CGGGGAAUAUUGGACAAUGGGGGGAACCCUGAUCCAGCCAUGCCGCGUGUGUGAAGAAGGCCUUUUGGUUGUAAAGCACUUUAAGCGAGGAGGAGGCUACUCUAGUUAAUACCUAGGGAUAGUGGACGUUACUCGCAGAAUAAGCACCGGCUAACUCUGUGCCAGCAGCCGCGGUAAUACAGAGGGUGCGAGCGUUAAUCGGAUUUACUGGGCGUAGAGCGUGCGUAGGCGGCUUUUUAAGUCGGAUGUGAAAUCCCUGAGCUUAACUUAGGAAUUGCAUUCGAUACUGGGAAGCUAGAGUAUGGGAGAGGAUGGUAGAAUUCCAGGUGUAGCGGUGAAAUGCGUAGAGAUCUGGAGGAAUACCGAUGGCGAAGGCAGCCAUCUGGCCUAAUACUGACGCUGAGGUACGAAAGCAUGGGGAGCAAACAG
rnacentral:rRNA from 1 species